CUACACACAUGCUACAAUGCAGGGUACAACGGGAAGCGAAGCCGCGAGGUGGAGCAAAUCCCCAAAAGCCCUGCUCAGUUCGGAUCGUACGCUGCAAUUCGCGUGCGUGAAGUCGGAGUCGCUAGUAACCGUGGAUCAGCAAAGCCGCGGUGAAUACGUUCCCGGGCCUU
rnacentral:rRNA from 1 species